GUGAGAUGAUGACAGAGUUUAUCCAUUCUCUGAGUGCAGUGGUGCUGCCCUCCUGCAGCAUUCUGACUCCUGUUCUAGGGUCCGGGUGCUGUGCAGCCUCCAGAGACCCUCUGGUCUGCCAGUGUCCUACUGGGGGCUGUUGUGGUGUGUGGCUGGCUGCCUGCAGGAGUGAAGUGGUGCUGGCAUGGCUGGAGCCCCUCUCUGGGGGGCUCUGUCCUCUCUGAGAUGAAGGGUGAUGUCUGAUCAC
rnacentral:snoRNA from 1 species